CCUACGGGUGGCAGCAGUGAGGAAUAUUGGUCAAUGGGCGCUAGCCUGAACCAGCCAAGUAGCGUGAAGGAUGACUGCCCUAUGGGUUGUAAACUUCUUUUAUAUGGGAAUACAGUGCAGUAUGUAUACUGCUUUGCAUGUACCUUAUGAAUAAGGAUCGGCUAACUCCGUGCCAGCAGCCGCGGGACUACGGAGGAUCCGCACGUUAUCCGGAUUUAUUGGGUUUAAAGGGAGCGUAGGCGGGUUGUUAAGUGAGUUGUGAAAGUUUGCGGCUCAACCGUAAAAUUGCAGUUGAUACUGGGAGCCUUGAGUACAGUAGACGUAGGCGGAAUGCGUGGUGUAGCGGUGAAAUGCUGAGAUAUCACGAAGAACUCCGAUUGCGAAGGCAGCCUGAUGGACUGUAACUGACGCUGAUGCUCGAAAGUGUGGGUAUCAAACAGGAUUAGAUACCCCUGGUAGUC
rnacentral:rRNA from 1 species